AACCUGGUUGAUCCUGCGCAGUAGUCAUAUGCGUUGUCUCAAAGACUAAGCCAUGCAUGUCUAAGUAUAAGUAUUAUACAGCGAAACUGCGAAUGGCUCAUUAAAACAGUUAUAGUUUAUUUGAUAAUCGAAUUUACAUGGAUAACCGUGGUAAUUCUAGAGCUAAUACAUGCUGGUAUGCCCAACUUUUCGGAAGGGCGGUAUUUAUUAGAUAACAAGCCAAUAUUCCUCUGGUCUAUUGUGGUGACUCAUAAUAACUGAUCGAAUCGCAAAGCCUAUGGCUGCGAUAAGUCAUUCAAGUUUCUGCCCCAUCAGCUUUCGAUGGUAGUGUAUUGGACUACCAUGGCGUUUACGGGUAACGGAGGAUUAGGGUUCGAUUCCGGAGAGGGAGCCUGAGAAACGGCUACCACAUCUAAGGAAGGCAGCAGGCGCGUAAAUUACCCAAUCCUGACUCAGGGAGGUAGUGACAAGAAAUAACGGACCGGGGCCUUACGGCUUCGGGAUUGCAAUGAGCCGAAUUUACACCCCUUAGCGAAGAUCGAUUGGAGGGCAAGUCUGGUGCCAGCAGCCGCGGUAAUUCCAGCUCCAAUAGC
rnacentral:rRNA from 1 species